UCGUUGCAGAGCCAGGGGGAAACACGGAGGCAACACGACUGCAAUGUCAUUUUCACCAGGAAAUCCAGUGUUCUGACCUACAAUCAAAGGCAGGAUAAGUGAAAUGGGACUCAACCCAACUGGACCUGGCAAACCACAAGUCUCACUGGCCUCUGCAUGACCCUGCAGCAACCUGUUGCCCCAAACAUUUCUACUGACCUGAAGACCUGCAUCUUGUUUUGCUUUUGAACAGUUGCGGCUUUAUUUGGAUUUACGAAUGGCAUCUCAAAUGACUUCAUAUGUGACCCCAGACUGAGGGGCUGAAGGAACAUUGUGAUCUGUGACACACAAACUUACCACACUCACAGCCGUGAGGUUAAGGGUUAACACCUUCAUCCCGCCUGGUUCCUCCCUGGCUGUUCAUUUUUUGCAAACCAGGUGUGUCCAUCUUCUGUCCUUCACUUACUGUGUUUGUCCAUAGAGUAAUGAUCAGCUGUGCACAUCAAAAGUCACUCACUGACAAAGCAUCAGAGUUAAUGUAAGAAAAUGAUAAGUUCACAUUGUGGCCUUCAGCUUUAUGUUAUAGCCAUCUGUUUUACAUUUUUACACUUUGUCUCUGAUGAAAGGUUUAGGCACCUAACACUUCUUGCUUAAGGUGGGGAAAGAUGUUUCACUCCUACUGUUGUUACUUUGAGGGGACAGAGGUUACUCUCAUGAGUCUUGUCAGAAAAUUGUAAACAUUAGGUUGUUGUUUUAAGAGUUUGAACAAACCUAUCUUGCCCUUACUUGUAUUUAUGUCUUUCUAUCUUUUCAAUCACUUAUGCUGCUGCAAUGAUGUCAGUUUCCCACAUUGUGGGACUAAUACAGGAUUAUCUUAUCUUAUCUUAAACUAUCAGUGCUGUCAUUUUUUAUUUAAAGCAGUCUCAACAAGAGUUAUGCCAAGUUCCGAAUGAUUUGUUGAAGGAAACAGGACCAAAACACUGCAAUAUAAAGUUUCUGA